rnacentral:rRNA from 1 species
CAAUAGCGUAUAUUAUUUAUGUUGCAGUUGAAACGUUCGUAGUCGAACUUUGUCUGCUUAGCUAUUGCACCAUCGAGUAUGGCGUGGUAGUUUCAGCAGAUAUUGUGCAAAGGGUUGGCGCAUGUUUCAUGUGGCACACUUUUUGCAUCUUACUUUGAGUGAAUCGGCGUGUUCCACGCAGGCAAGUGCCUUGAACGAUUUACCAUAGCAUAAUCACAGUAUGGAAGUGUUCUCUUGUUUGUUCGAGGACAUUUCUGAUACUGAAAGGAACGGUUGAGGGCAUUCGUAUUCAACUGCCAGAGGUGAAAUUCUUUGAUUAGUUGAGGACGAACUAUUGCGAAAGCAUCUGCCAAGGACGUUUCCUUUGAC